AAUAACAUCUGCUCCACAAAUCGUUACACAAACUGAAGUAUCUAUUAAUAUUCACCAAUUUUGUGCAUUACUGAAUAGGAAAAACUCGCUAUGAGCAUGAUCAGUAAAAACAGUUUACUGUGUUUUCUCUCCUAUCCUCAAUAGAACACUGAGGGGAAAGUAAUCAACAAAUCCCUUUAUUACAGUUCAAAGUAAAUGGAUAUCAGGAACGUUUUUCCAUCCUUGCACUGUCGUAAAACUCGAAAAGAAACAGACAAUAUGUCGUCGGUUGAAUCACACAAGUGUGGGAAUCAUUCCGGAAAGUUUGAGGUGCGAUGCCGUAACUGUUGGGGACGUGUGGCUACAGUGAUUCUCUACGUCAUCUGUAUCUCCAUGUCCGCCAUUAUCCUGGGAUGUUACUACUCCUUUGCUUGGGAACCAACACCCAAAAUUGUUAAGUUCAACGAUGGCGAGACCAUCUCAGAAUCUACUGGCUUCGUCCGCAGCGUGCGAAGAGGAUAGAUUAGAAGGUAGAAGACAUUAUGCUUUAAAAUAGAAGUCAUUAAAGUUUGAUUGGUAUAACCACCGAUUACAGAAAUGUUUACAUUCAACAGUUUUCCUUACAUGUAUAAAGCACAAUAAAAACUUUUCAUCUUCAACAUCAUCGAACAGCCCAGAACCGUUAUAACAAGUCGACAUGGACACCUGUGUCAUGUAUUACCAGUGGGCACCAUAUAUAAGAAACAUCCUAAAACAUGUGAAAGUAUUCAUGAUUAACUUGUUUGCUAAUUGGUUAACGGCAAGGUGUUCCGACUGAUUAUGAUAAUGCCCAUUAUAUGCCUUUAGUAAAAAAAAAUGUCAAUUUUUUUCUUAGAAAAAACUUGAUUUACUAUUUUGUGCAAAAAGGGAUAUUAUAAACAAAGAUUGAUGUAAUCAUGUAA